rnacentral:sRNA from 2 species
UCCUAGCCCCGAUAGAAACGACAUCCUUUUAUGGUGGGGUUCACCAUAAAAGAUAUAGCGGAUAGCGGGAUUAGCU